AGAAUCAACGCUGGCGGCGCGCCUAACACAUGCAAGUCGAACGAGAAAGCCGCAAGGCAAGUAAAGUGGCGUACGGGUGAGUAACACGUGGAUAAUCUGCCUUUUAGUGGGGAAUACCGUUGGGAAACCGACGACAAUACCGCAUAAGCUCGAGAGAGGAAAGCAGCAAUGCGCUGAAAGAGGAGUCCGCGGUCGAUUAGUUAGUUGGCAGGGUAAAAGCCUACCAAGACUGUGAUCGAUAGCCGGCCUGAGAGGGCACACGGCCACACUGGCACUGAAACACGGGCCAGACUCCUACGGGAGGCAGCAGUGGGGAAUCUUGCACAAUGGGGGAAACCCUGAUGCAGCGACGCCGCGUGAGCGAUGAAGCCCUUCGGGGUGUAAAGCUCUUCGUCGGGGAAGAUAAUGACGGUACCCGGAGAAGCAGCUGCGGCUAACUACGCGCCAGCAGCCGC
rnacentral:rRNA from 1 species